GGCUGCCGUGGCUUAGUUGGGUUUAAAGCGCCUGUCUAGUAAACAGGAGAUCGUGAGUUCGAAUCUCACCGGUGCCU
rnacentral:tRNA from 1 species